rnacentral:rRNA from 1 species
GACGAACGCUGGCGGCAUGCCUAAUACAUGCAAGUCGAGCGAACAUUUCUAGCUUCUUUCUUCUAUACAUGUUAGCGGCGGAUGGGUGAGUAACACGUGAGCAACCUGCCCUUCAGAUGUGGCUACCUCCGGGAAACCGUGGCUAAUACCGGAUAAUCAUUUUGUCCGCUUGGACAAACUCUAAUAGACGGCUUCGGCUUUCACUGCCGGCUUGUCCCGCGGCGCAUUAGCUAGUUGGUGGGAUAACGGCCUACCAAGGCCACGAUGGGUAGCCGACCUGAGAGGGGGAUAGGCCACACUAGGAGUGAGACACGGCCAAGACUACUACGGGAGGCAGCAGUAGGGAAUCGUACACAAUGGACGGAAGUAUGAUGGAGCAAUGCCGCGUGAGAGAAGAAGGUUUUCGGAGCGUAAAGAUCUGUUGUGAGGGAAGAACAAGUACGGGAGGAACUGAACGUAAAUUGACGGUACCUGAUUAGAAAGCCACGGCUAACUACGUG